rnacentral:lncRNA from 1 species
GUAAAUAUAAAAAAAUUGCAUUAGUCAUCUUGUUUCUAGAAGAAGGGAGCCUUGGUAAUCGAGAAUUCUACCGCAAAAUUUAAAAAGUCUGACAAAGAAUUAUUCUCAACAAAAAUUGAAUUUGCGUUCUUCUGAACAAUGUGUCCUAGAGGAAUUAACAAUUUACGAGGUUAGGAAAGUCUAACAAAAAAAUUAACCACUUGAACCGAAUAUAAUAGUUAAUUUUAAAAAAUAUUAUAUGAAUGAACCAUCCAUAUCUAUUAAAAAUUGUAAGAGUCCACUUAUAAAU